ensembl:ribozyme
AGAGGGUAACAGGGGGCCACAGCAGAAGCGUUCACGUCGCGGCCCCUGUCAGAUUCUGGUGAAUCUGCGAAUUCUGCU